ACCCCAUCUACUUUCCUCAUCCAAUUUACGAAGGAAUCCGCUUCAUUUUUAUUUUCUGAAUAUUUUUUGAUGUGUUAAUAUUAAACUUGUAUGAAUGCUCCAUUUCCACCAAAAAGACGAAAAAUCUAUUUUGCCAGAAUGUUUAGAUAUCUAAGAUCACUCCAUGCACCUCAAGGGAGAAAAAAAAAGAAAAGGUAAGUCCCUCGCAUUG
rnacentral:lncRNA from 1 species